rnacentral:lncRNA from 1 species
AUUGCAAUAUUUCUUAUUCAAGAUUAAGUGACACUAUAUUUAUUAUUAUUUGUUUAUCCAUUAUCUUUGAGAUAUAUGCCUUACAAAAUGUUUAAAUAGGACUAAAAUCCUAGAAUCAUUGAGGAUGGGGCUUUGCCUAUAAAAGACCAUCCAAUAGUGAAAACCUAACCUCUGUGAUAAGAGAUCUCUUGAAGAAGGUUUAAUAUGAUAAUAACAAGAUAAUUGGUUAGUCAA